AUUGACUCUGAACUCAGAACAGCCAAACAGCAGCAAUUAUAUUUAUUUUAAAAAAAUUAAGUGCUUACUGUUUGGCUAAUUUUGGGUU